UUUAGCAGAGAUGCUUUAGUGCCUUCGGGAACUCUGAGACAGGUGCUGCAUGGCUGUCGUCAGCUCGUGUUGUGAAAUGUUGGUUAAGCCCCGCAACGAGCGCAACCCCUAUCCUUUGUUGCCAGCGAUUCGGUCGGGAACUCAAAGGAGAUUGCCGGUGAUAAACCGGAGGAAGGUGGGGAUGACGUCAAGUCAUCAUGGCCCUUACGAGUAGGGCUACACACGUGCUACAAUGGCGCAUACAAAGAGAAGCGACCUCGCGAGAGCAAGCGGACCUCAUAAAGUGCGUCGUAGUCCGGAUUGGAGUCUGCAACUCGACUCCAUGAAGUCGGAAUCGCUAGUAAUCGUAGAUCAGAAUGCUACGGUGAAUACGUUCCCGGGCCUUGUACACACCGCCCGUCACACCAUGGGAGUGGGUUGCAAAAGAAGUAGAUAGCUUAACCUUCGGGAGGGCGUUUACCACUUUGUGAUUCAUGACUGGGGUGAAGUCGUAACAAGGUAAGCGUAGCGAG
rnacentral:rRNA from 1 species